rnacentral:rRNA from 1 species
AAUUAUUUCGAGAUAAGGAAAAGUUGUUUUGGUAAAGCAUUUAAAUUUUUAAAUGUCCGGGUAAUAUUCUUUAUCCCUUGAAAAUCAGAUGGAAAGUAAAAUUAUCAGUUUUAAUCGUACUCAUAACCGCAUCAGGUCUCUAAGGUUAAUAGCCUCUGGUUAAAAUAGAAUAAUGUAAAAUAAGGGAAGUCGGCAAAAUAGAUCCGUAACUUUGGGAAAAGGAUUGGCUCUAAAAGAUAAAAUCUGAAAAGACUGUUUAAAGAAAAAAAGAUGUCUAAUUUUAAAGGAAUGUUUGUAAAGAUAGAUUUUUUGGGAGGUGAAAUUUGAUUGGAAGGGGAUUGUUAAAAGGGAAAUAUAAAAAAUGGAUCGAAUUUUUGGGUUAUUUAAUAUCUAAUUUAGAACUGGUACGGACAAGGG